rnacentral:rRNA from 1 species
ACGGGAGGCAGCAGUGGGGAAUAUUGGGCAAUGGGCGAAAGCCUGACCCAGCAACGCCGCGUGAAGGAAGAAGGUUUUCGGAUUGUAAACUUCUUUUAUCAGGGACGAAGAACGUGACGGUACCUGAUGAAUAAGCCACGGCUAACUACGUGCCAGCAGCCGCGGUAAUGCGUAGGUGGCAAGCGUUAUCCGGAUUUACUGGGUGUAAAGGGCGCGUAGGCGGGGAUGCAAGUCAGAUGUGAAAUCCAUGGGCUUAACCCAUGAACUGCAUUUGAAACUGUAUUUCUUGAGUGUCGGAGAGGUAGACGGAAUUCCUAGUGUAGCGGUGAAAUGCGUAGAUAUUAGGAGGAACACCAGUGGCGAAGGCGGUCUACUGGACGAUAACUGACGCUGAGGCGCGAAAGCGUGGGGAGCAAACAGGAUUAGAACCCUGGUA